ACUACAUGUGCACCUGACACGCCCUGUGUGAGCUCCCAGCCUGUGCUCAUGUCAGAGCCACAGUGGGAUGAAGCUGCCUGGUUAGAGGACACUGGUCAACAGAUGACUACAUGUGAACCUGACACGCCCUGUGUGAGCUCCCAGUCUGUGCUCAUGUCAGAGCCACAAUGGGAUGAAGCUGCCUGGUUAGAGGACACUGGUCAACAGAUGACUACAUGUGAACCUGACACACACUGUGUGAGCUCCCAGCCUGUGCUCAUGUCACAGCCAAAGUGGGAUGAA